rnacentral:tRNA from 1 species
GAGGGUAUAACUCAGUGGUACAGUAUGUGCUUAGCAUGCAAGAAAUCCUGGGUUCAACCCCAGCACCUCCA